AACGUCCAGAUUCCUUACCUCUCAGAUCAAAAUAUUGGUCUGACUGGCUAAAAAAGGAGGAAAAGUAAAACUGAAGUAGACUUUGGAGUCUUCAAUGCCAUACAAGUUCAUUUCACACUUAA
rnacentral:snoRNA from 1 species